rnacentral:rRNA from 1 species
GACGAACGCUGGCGGCGUGCCUAAUACAUGCAAGUCGAGCGAACAGGUGAGGAGCUUGUUCCGCCUACAUGAGCAGCGGACGGGUGAGUAACACGUGGAUAACCUACCUAUAAGACUGGGAUAACUUCGGGAAACGGGAGCUAAUACCGCAUAAUAUCUUGAAACACAUGGUUCAAUAGUGAAAGACGGUUUUGCUGUCACUUAUGGUUAGAUCCCGGCCGAUUUAGCAGUUGGUUAGGUAAACGAUUUACAAAGGGAACGUUGAUUAGCGGACCGGGAGGGGGGAUGGGCCACUCGGGAACGGGGACACGGCCAAGACUCCUAGGGGAGGCGGCGUAAGGGAUUCUUGGGCAAUGAGGGAAGGCCUAACGGAGCAACGCCGGGGGAGGGAGGAAGGUCUUCGGACCGUAAAAUCCUGUUAUUAGGGAGGAACAAAGGUGUAAGGAACUAUGCACGUCGUGACGGUACCUAAUCAGAAAGCGACGGCUAACUACGUG